ACGAACGCUGGCGGCGUGGAUAAGACAUGCAAGUCGAACGAGAGAAUUGCUAGCUUGCUAAUAAUUCUCUAGUGGCGCACGGGUGAGUAACACGUGAGUAACCUGCCCCCGAGAGCGGGAUAGCCCUGGGAAACUGGGAUUAAUACCGCAUAGUAUCGAAAGAUUAAAGCAGCAAUGCGCUUGGGGAUGGGCUCGCGGCCUAUUAGUUAGUUGGUGAGGUAACGGCUCACCAAGGCGAUGACGGGUAGCCGGUCUGAGAGGAUGUCCGGCCACACUGGAACUGAGACACGGUCCAGACACCUACGGGUGGCAGCAGUCGAGAAUCAUUCACAAUGGGGGAAACCCUGAUGGUGCGACGCCGCGUGGGGGAAUGAAGGUCUUCGGAUUGUAAACCCCUGUCAUGUGGGAGCAAAUUAAAAAGAUAGUACCACAAGAGGAAGAGACGGCUAACUCUGUGCCAGCAGCCGCGGUAAUACAGAGGUCUCAAGCGUUGUUCGGAAUCACUGGGCGUAAAGCGUGCGUAGGCUGUUUCGUAAGUCGUGUGUGAAAGGCGCGGGCUCAACCCGCGGACGGCACAUGGUACUGAGAGACUAGAGUAAUGGAGGGGGAACCGGAAUUCUCGGUGUAGCAGUGAAAUGCGUAGAUAUCGAGAGGAACACUCGUGGCGAAGGCGGGUUCCUGGACAUUAACUGACGCUGAGGCACGAAGGCCAGGGGAGCGAAAGGGAUUAGAUACCCCUGUAGUCCUGGCAGUAAACGGUGCACGCUUGGUGUGCGGGGAAUCGACCCCCUGCGUGCCGGAGCUAACGCGUUAAGCGUGCCGCCUGGGGAGUACGGUCGCAAGAUUAAAACUCAAAGAAAUUGACGGGGACCCGCACAAGCGGUGGAGUAUGUGGCUUAAUUCGAUGCAACGCGAAGAACCUUACCUGGGCUUGACAUGUAAUGAACAACAUGUGAAAGCAUGCGACUCUUCGGAGGCGUUACACAGGUGCUGCAUGGCCGUCGUCAGCUCGUGUCGUGAGAUGUUUGGUUAAGUCCAGCAACGAGCGCAACCCCUGUUGCCAGUUACCAGCACGUGAAGGUGGGGACUCUGGCGAGACUGCCCAGAUCAACUGGGAGGAAGGUGGGGACGACGUCAGGUCAGUAUGGCCCUUAUGCCCAGGGCUGCACACGUACUACAAUGCCCAGUACAGAGGGGGCCGAAGCCGCGAGGCGGAGGAAAUCCUAAAAACUGGGCCCAGUUCGGACUGUAGGCUGCAACCCGCCUACACGAAGCCGGAAUCGCUAGUAAUGGCGCAUCAGCUACGGCGCCGUGAAUACGUUCCCGGGUCUUGUACACACCGCCCGUCACAUCAUGGAAGCCGGUCGCACCCGAAGUAUCUGAAGCCAACCGCAAGGAGGCAGGGUCCUAAGGUGAGACUGGUAACUGGGAUG
rnacentral:rRNA from 1 species